GUCUACAGCCAUGCCACCAUGAACAAACCCGAUGUCCGAGCUCAGUAGCUAAGCAGAGUCGGGCCUGGUUAGUACUUGGAUGGGAGACC
rnacentral:rRNA from 1 species